rnacentral:lncRNA from 1 species
GCCAAACAGAACACAGAGUGAUAUAAAAUUAUAGGACUAAUGGUAUAUUAUUUGAUCACUGAAUUGACCAAAAUCUUAUCACAUUCAUUAAUUAAAUUAAAUAAUACUAUUAUAGUAUAAUUGUGUUUCUUUUUCAUAGAAUGACCUAUCAGAUCGGACUAUGUGAAAACUAUGUGAAAUUUGUUGGAAACUAUGUAAAAUAAGAAAUUGUAAAAUCAAAAAAAUUAGACUUAAAAAUAAAAAAGAAGCAAGAUUUACAUUAUUGAUGAUCAUGAUUUAUUUUUCAAAUGGUGAAAAAUUUAUUGAUACAUUCUUUUAUAUCACAUGAGCAAUUAAGAUACCUGCACACAAUCAUCUCUCACUAAUCAACAGGGUUUCCCAUGCAUGUUUUCUUUAACCUUGCUAACUCUCUA